rnacentral:rRNA from 1 species
GACGAACGUUGGCGGCGUGCUUAACACAUGCAAGUCGAACGGAAAGGCCCUGCUUUUGUGGGGUGCUCGAGUGGCGAACGUGUGAGUAACACGUGAGUAACCUGCCCUUGACUUUGGGAUAACUUCAGGAAACUGGGGCUAAUACCGGAUAGGAGCUCCUGCUGCAUGGUGGGGGUUGGAAAGUUUCGGCGGUUGGGGAUGGACUCGCGGCUUAUCAGCUUGUUGGUGGGGUAGUGGCUUACCAAGGCUUUGACGGGUAGCCGGCCUGAGAGGGUGACCGGCCACAUUGGGACUGAGAUACGGCCCAGACUCCUACGGGAGGCAGCAGUGGGGAAUAUUGCACAAUGGGCGGAAGCCUGAUGCAGCAACGCCGCGUGCGGGAUGACGGCCUUCGGGUUGUAAACCGCUUUCGCCUGUGACGAAGCGUGAGUGACGGUAAUGGGUAAAGAAGCACCGGCUAACUACGUGCCAGCAGCCGCGGUGAUACGUAGGGUGCGAGCGUUGUCCGGAUUUAUUGGGCGUAAAGGGCUCGUAGGUGGUUGAUCGCGUCGGAAGUGUAAUCUUGGGGCUUAACCCUGAGCGUGCUUUCGAUACGGGUUGACUUGAGGAAGGUAGGGAGAAAUGGAAUUCCUGGUGGAGCGGUGGAAUGCGCAGAUAUCAGGAGGAACACCAGUGGCGAAGGCGGUUCUCUGGGCCUUUCCUGACGCUGAGGAGCGAAAGCGUGGGGAGCGAACAGGCUUAGAUACCCUGGUAGUCCACGCUGUAAACGGUGGGUACUAGGUGUGAGGUCCAUUCCACGGGUUCCGUGCCGUAGCUAACGCUUUAAGUACCCCGCCUGGGGAGUACGGCCGCAAGGCUAAAACUCAAAGGAAUUGACGGGGCCCCGCACAAGCGGCGGAGCAUGCGGAUUAAUUCGAUGCAACGCGUAGAACCUUACCUGGGUUUGACAUGGAUCGGGAGUGCUCAGAGAUGGGUGUGCCUCUUUUGGGGUCGGUUCACAGGUGGUGCAUGGCUGUCGUCAGCUCGUGUCGUGAGAUGUUGGGUUAAGUCCCGCAACGAGCGCAGCCCUUGUUCACUGUUGCCAGCACGUUAUGGUGGGGACUCAGUGGAGACCGCCGGGGUCAACUCGGAGGAAGGUGGGGAUGACGUCAAGUCAUCAUGCCCCUUAUGUCCAGGGCUUCACGCAUGCUACAAUGGCUGGUACAGAGAGUGGCGAGCCUGUGAGGGUGAGCGAAUCUCGGAAAGCCGGUCUCAGUUCGGAUUGGGGUCUGCAACUCGACCUCAUGAAGUCGGAGUCGCUAGUAAUCGCAGAUCAGCAACGCUGCGGUGAAUACGUUCCCGGGGCU